CACGGAGUUAGCCGAUCCUUAUUCUUACCGUACGUUCAGCUUCUCUCGCAAGAGAAGGUUUAUUCAGGUACAAAAGCAGUUUACAACCCAUAGGGCCGUCUUCCUGCACGCGGCAUGGCUGGUUCAGGCUUGCGCCCAUUGACCAAUAUUCCUUACUGCUGCCUCCCGUAGGAGUCUGGUCCGUGUCUCAGUACCAGUGUGGGGGGUCAUCCUCUCAGAUCCCCUAGACAUCGUGGUCUUGGUGACGCCGUUACCUCACCAACUAACUAAUGUCACGCAUGCUCAUCUUAAUCCUAUAAAUAUUUGAUUGAAUUGUGAUGCCACAUCUCAAUGUUAUGCGGUGUUAAUCCGGAUUUCUCCGGGUCUAUCCCCCUGAUUAAGGUAGAUUGCAUACGCGUUACGCACCCGUGCGCCGGUCUCUGGGUUGCAAGCAACCCCAUACCCCGUCGACUUGCAUGUAUUAGGCCUGCCGCUAGCGUUCA
rnacentral:rRNA from 1 species